ACUGAAGAGACAACGGUUGGGACCACGACUAGAGGAGCUCAGACAUCACAGGAGUUCCCACGUGAUAGGGUUCCUCGGAUAUCAUCCUCAACUAAUAGAGCUCCGGCAACCCGUAUGAAAGAACCAUUUCGUGCACCGUGCAUCGAUCAUAGGAAUGCACAGUCGAGUACUGCUGAUGACCCUCAAACUCCAACAGACAACAUAGAGACUCGGCAUCGCGCGGAAGUGGCUGAUCAUGAAUUAGAAGACGAGGAUUACGAUCCAGAGGCGGAUGAGAAGUUCCGUCGUUUGAUGACCACAUCGACGACUUGUUUGCUGCCCAAGAAGUCGAAGGUCAGCAUAACAACAAGAAAACCAAAGAUACAGAUUUCUGGGAAGUUACUGUUAUCGAGGACGGUGUGAGAAAAGUUUGUAAGCUGAGCGUGAAGGAGGCUAUAGCCCUCCCUUCCAAUACGAAGAUAGUACUCCCGUUUAACAGUGAGCUGCAACCGAUUGGUCAAGCAGCAGGAUUACUGAGUGGUUUCAUAGGGAGUUUGGGUGUGGAUUAUUCCCAGUUCCCCAUACACUUAGAAAGUUGGAAGCUGGUGAGCAAAGUAAAGAGGGAUCAUGCGUACGACAUGCUUAAGCGGGUCUUUUACUAUGAGGACGAUGCCGGGGGAAAAAUAAAGCGUGAUAUUUUGAAGAGGAUAGGAAAGAACUGAAAGGAUUCAAGGCACCACUUGUUUCAUAGGUGUUACAAACAAAUAAGGACUUAUGAGGAAAAUCUUCAGCAUCACCCGAAAGGAAUAGACAAAAAUGAUUGGAAAAAGUUUGUUGACUAUCGCCUGAAUGAAGAAACACAGAAAAAGUGUAAACAGAACACUUUAAAUCGGAGCAAGCAACUUUACACACAUACUGGGGGCUCCAAAACCUUGGCAAGAAAAAAAGACGAAGUGGAGAGAGAGCAAGGAAGGCCCGUUGGUAGAGGAGAGUUGUUUAUCAUGACUCAUAAGAAAAAAGAUAGCUCGUAUAUCCACCCCGAUGCGCGUGUUGUUAGUGAAGCAAUUGUGAAUGUUGAGAGGCAGGAUGGAUCCUCUAAACACCUUUCACAGAAUGACUCGCUAGCACAAGUUCUCGGAAAGGAGCACCCAGGACGAGUUCGUGCCCUAGGUGCUGGACCAUGUCCCACCCAAGUCUUUGGUAACGCUGCUGGACAACCGUCGGAUUCUGUAGAGUCCAAUGCAGAGGAUAAGAGGAUGAUUGCAGAAUUGACGGCUAAGCUAGAAGAAGAGCGGGCGAAGAGACAGUCAAUACAUAAGGUCUUGGGAUAUGUAGUCCAACAGUUAUGAGGCAAUUUGCCGGUUGAGAUUGCUGAAGAGCUGGCUUUUGUGGGCGGUACACUGGACUCGUCAUGCGCAGGGCCAUCUUCAUCUGGAAAUCACGACCCACAACAAAAAUUUUGAAUUUCAAUUAAUGGUCUUGGAUACCUUUUACAUUUAAGUUGGUUUAGUAU